rnacentral:lncRNA from 1 species
UCAUCCUUAAAACUUGAGACUGAAGAUCAGCUCAGAGAUACUUCAAGGCGAGCCUAGACGCAGAACCCUCUCUUGAAUAAUUCUUAGAGAGAGAGAAGGAAGGGGAGAAAGAGAGAGAGAGGAGCCGCCUAGGGAAUGUGUGAAGUAAUAAGAGCGCAUUUAAAGGAAGGAGGAAGGUAGGGAGAGCGAGCGAGAGAGAGAAUGAUAAGGUAGGAGCAUUUAAG